CUGGGCCUCCUGGUCCUGUUCCCACACUGGACAAACAGGGCCUAGAAUUGGGAUUUUGCUGCAGGGUCCCCAAGGCUCGGGCAGGCCCCACGGCCCACGCUCUUUGGCCUCCUGAAGCAUAAGGCUCUCCAGGUUGGAACUGUGAGCUGCUUCAAAGCAUCAUCUGUGGCCUCCUGAGUACCCGGCCUCCAGAAGAUCAGAAAAUCCUUGUUAAUUAAAGUGAACAACGAACCCCCUAUACAUUCACACACUCCCUCCCACACACUUAUCCCCCCCUCCACACACACACACACACACACACACACACACACACACACACACUCCUCUAGGACUAGAAAGCUUGUAUUCAUUCUUUAAAGUCCAGAUCGGAUGGCUCCUCCUCCAGAAAGCCCUCCUGGACUCCUAGACAGAGAGCCCCGGGGCCUCCAGCCCAGCAUCAAAGCUUCUGUGUGGGAUGAAGUAGAAGGAGUGAGGCUUCUGAGUUUCCUGCCCAAGACCACAGAAGGAUGGGAUAAAGGGAGACUGGGCAGUGGCCAGCACCACUGGGGAGCAUGGGUGUCAGGCUCAGAUAUAGAGUCAUUGCUUCCCUCUACCACCCCCCCCCCUUAAGCCAGCUUCCUUUUCUUUGUCAUGUGGAGAACUCCCAUCCCCCACCCCCUAUCAGCAUGGGGGCCCACACGGUAGCAAACUGAACAUUCUGGAAGCUUUCUCAUGCCCCAAGGACACUGGGGAGAAGCCACUGGCUUCUCCCCAUGUUCAGGAAUCAAGGGGACUCCGCCCAGAUCCCUCCUCAACUCCAUUCUCCAUCACUCUCCCUUAUCUCACCCCUUCCCACAUCCUGGUUGUGCAGACCCCCCUUCCUCUUAUGAUCUGAGCAAAUCAUCAUAAUUGCCUCUCUAGGAAUGUCAGUGAUCAAAAGAGUGGAGUCUGGUGCCAGGAGCCAUGCUGAGCAUUGCACUCAGAGCACUUCACUUCAGCCUCCCCGAACCUUAAGAGGUGGAAAACUGUAUUUAUUUCCAUUUACAGAGGAGGAAGCUGAGGCUCCGAGUCGCCUCCCGAGGGUCACCCUGCUUGUGAAUGGCAGAGCAGAAACCUGACCCAGCUCCCUCUAGAACAGAGCUGGAGAGAGGUCCUGAGACCCCCACCAUGUCUCUCUGGGCCCCUUCUCCUGUCCUCUGAUGGUCUCAGACUAAGUCAUCAGAGGUCAGCUCCCUCCACUCCCUCCCCCUGCCCCACCCCUGCCUCCUGGGAGUCCCUGGGACCAGCCUCUCCACAGGUGGUGAGGCUAAUUCCAGGCCUGACACCACCAGCUCAGGAAAGGGAUCCCUCCCCCAGGAGCUGCGGGCUAGCUGGCUAGCUAGCUCGGUGGCCUUGUAGGGUAGACCCUUGUCACUGGAAUGUCCUCUUGUUCAGGGAGCUCCCGGAGUGGAAUCUGAUGCUGGGGAGAGGAGAAGGAGGCUAGGAAUGGCAUUAAAGCUCUGCUCUGCCCCCUGCCCUGUA